rnacentral:rRNA from 1 species
AGUGAACGCUGGCGGUAGGCCUAACACAUGCAAGUCGAACGGCAGCACAGUAAGAGCUUGCUCUUACGGGUGGCGAGUGGCGGACGGGUGAGGAAUACAUCGGAAUCUACUUUUUCGUGGGGGAUAACGUAGGGAAACUUACGCUAAUACCGCAUACGACCUACGGGUGAAAGCAGGGGAUCAUCGGACCUUGCGCGAUUGAAUGAGCCGAUGUCGGAUUAGCUAGUUGGCGGGGUAAAGGCCCACCAAGGCGACGAUCCGUAGCUGGUCUGAGAGGAUGAUCAGCGACACGGGAAGUAGGAGAGGGUCCAGGAUCCUACGGGAGGCAGCAGUGGGGAAUAUGGGAAAAUGGGAGAAAGCAUGAUCCAUAGAUACUGCGUGGGUGAAGAAGGCAUUCGGGUUGGAAAGCCCUUUUGUUGGGAAAGAAAAGCAGCAGGUUAAGACCCCGCUGUUCUGACGGAACCCAAAGAAGGAGAACCGGCGAAAUGCGU